rfam:Picea glauca, whole genome shotgun sequence.
UUGUAAUGUAAUGCCUACAAUAUUAAUGCACCGAAUCCCAUUAGAACUCCAUAAUUAAACGCUUUUGGGUUAGAGUAGUACUGGGAUGGGUGACCUCCUGGAAGUCCUAGUGUUUUACAUG